CGGGUGAGUAAUGUAUAGGUUACGUGCCUCUUAGUUCGGGAUAGCCAUUGGAAACGAUGAUUAAUACCGGAUACUCCUCUUACGAGGGAAAGAUUUAUUGCUAAGAGAUCGGCCUAUAUCGUAUCAGCUAGUUGGUGAGGUAAUGGCCCACCAAGGCAAUGACACGUAGCGGGUUUGAGAGGAUGAUCCGCCACACUGGUACUGAGACACGGACCAGACUCCUACGGGAGGCAGCAGUGAGGAAUAUUGCACAAUGGGGGAAACCCUGAUGCAGCAACGCCGCGUGGAGGAUGACGCAUUUCGGUGUGUAAACUCCUUUUAUCAGAGAAGAAGAUGACGGUAUCUGAUGAAUAAGCUCCGGCUAACUCCGUGCCAGCAGCCGCGGUAAUACGGAGGGAGCAAGCGUUAUUCGGAAUCACUGGGCGUAAAGGGCGCGUAGGCCGGUUUUUAAGUCAGGUGUGAAAUCCAAUGGCUCAACCAUUGAACUGCACUUGAAACUGGCAACCUAGAGUAUGGAAGGGGUGUCUGGAAUUAGUGGUGUAGGGGUACAAUCCGUAGAGAUCACGAGGAAUACCGAAAUCGAAGGCGAUCGGCGGGGACAUUACUGACGCUGAGGCGGUAAAGCGGGGGAAGCAAAAAGGAUUAGAUACCCGGGUAGUCCACGCCCUAAACGAUGAACACAGUCGUCGGGAGGCUUUUCCUUUCGGUGAUGCAGUUAACACAUUAAACAUUCCGCCUGGGGAGUACGGUCGCAAGAUUAAAACUCAAAGGAAUAGACGGGGACCCGCACAAGUGGUGGAGCAUGUGGUUUAAUUCGAAGAUACGCGAAGAACCUUACCUAGCCUUGACAUUGAUAGAAUCCCGUAGAGAUACUGGAGUGCCCUUCGGGGAGCUUGAAAACAGGUGCUGCACGGCUGUCGUCAGCUCGUGUCGUGAGAUGUUGGGUUAAGUCCCGCAACGAGCGCAACCCUCGUCACUAGUUACUAACGGUUCGGCCGAGGACUCUAGUGAGACUGCCUUCGUAAGGAGGAGGAAGGUGAGGACGACGUCAAGUCAUCAUGGCCCUUACGGCUAGGGCAACACACGUGCUACAAUGGCCAGGACAGUGAGACGCAAUACCGCGAGGUGGAGCAAAUCUAUAAACCUGGUCUCAGUUCCGGAUUGUAGUCUGCAACUCGACUACAUGAAGCUGAAAUCACUAGUAAUCGUAGAUCAGCCAUGCUACGGUGAAUACGUUCCCGGGUCUUGU
rnacentral:rRNA from 1 species